CAACUUUGCUCCCUCGCCCCGUAUUUCGUUAAUUUAUUCAAAAUGGUCGCCGUAUUAUUUUGUCGUCGGAAUUCGGAAAGUGCUUAUUGCCUUUGUACUUAUGAUUACAUGAUAUCUGUGAGCAACAUUCUGGUUGACCCCAUUGGAUUGGAGCCCACAUCUGUAUCGAGCAGAACCUUCUUUUCUUUUCCCUUUCUUACCUUUUGGCCUUUUCCUUUGUCUUUGUGUACAUUCAUGUGUGUGUGAAUGUAUUCACAAGGACAUCACUUAUUCCUCCUUUUUUUAUUCCACCACCUCUGUCACGGAAGCCGAUUGCCCAUGUCACUGUACAACUUCCGCUACUGUACACCGAGCGAGAAAACUAUGGACUACUAGAAUUGACGAUUCUGCUCCCUUUUGCUGAUUUUGGAUGUUGGCGGGUUGUUGGAGCCUACCGUGUCUCAUCGCUUCCAUCCAAGCAAAGCAUAAUCCAUCUCACUGCGACGACUACAAAUGGCGGGUUAAUACUCCAGUGGCGCCUUAGGAAGUCUUCAGCAGCAUUUCCAACUGCGGAAUGCGAAUGGACAGGAGGGCGAUGGUCUAAUAACGAACUAGAGACCAGAAACAAGUGAAUUUAUCGUCCGUUUACUGGAUUUGAUUGGUGCUAAAGGUGAAUUUAUACCGUUAUGCGACAUAGAAAUGACCGGCAUCUUCUUCCAGAAAAUUUAUAAGGAAUAAAACUUGGUAAAUUAAAACUAAAACCACAAUUGCCAGAAACAGUUAUUCCUCUUAACUUGAUUUUCACACCUGAUAUUUUAUUGAUUUCCAUUUAGGUUCGUCCUUGAAAUGUUACGGUUGCUUCGUACUGUAUUUUAAUCUCUCCACCCCUCUUU